CUCUGAUGGGACACCCCAGUGGAUGCUUCUGUAGCUUAGUUUCCUGAGUGGCUUUGUUGAGUGGAGAGCCCUGGCUACCUGGACAGGCAUGCAGUAUGAGCAAACAAUACAACUUUUUUUCCUCUUAAGCCACUGAGAGCUUGUCCCUUUUGUUCUGUAGCAUAACCUGGCCUAUACUGACAGAUACACACUUAUUAAACUCCUGCUGUGGGUCAGGUAAUAACACCACAAUGGCAUAUGGAUCAUGUCACUGGAGUCUUACAGCCUUGUCAAGUGGACAUGAUAAUUACCCUCCUUUACUGAUACAGCAGCAAUGGCCACCAAGCCAUACAGCAGUCUCCAAUGACCCGAUGCCGCAGAAACGGAUGGCUCUCACGUUAAGAUGGAAAUGACUAUCGCGCAAGACCCAUAAUCGUGUGAUUUGUUUGCCGCUGAACCAGUGCAGCAAGUCUGAAGCAAUUUCUGUAACAGAAUGAAAGAGGUGUGCUAGGAAACAAUAAAGGGGCUCUACCCAUGUGACCGAGGC
rnacentral:lncRNA from 1 species